CUUGUCACAGUCUAUUUGUUUUACACUGCUUCUCUUUCCUCUCCACACAUUCUUUCGAUGUAAUUUCAUGUGAAAAUAUGGUUAAGGGCUGCUUUACUUAUUUUUCAGGAUCAUCAAUGGAAAUAUUAACUCUGACAGGAAGGCUCUACACCACCCUACCAGAUACCUGCCCUUAGCUGUGUGUAGGAAGACGAUGAUUAAGGAGUAUUUGCAUUUUUCCACAAGAGAAUCGUUCUUCUCUAUCUUCCCUCAUUUAAGAACAUCACCAGCUCAAAGACUCAUCUCUCAACCACCCAUGUACAUACAAAGAGUUAGAGCCACUGACACUGGGAGACAUGAACUGAGUUGGCAGCAAGAGUGAAAGGCUGGUGUAUAGAAAGAAGAUAUUGCAACAAAAAACUCAGAGGUGAAAAGAUCUCCAUCCAUUCUCUUGGUAAACUAAACUUCUUCUCCAGGAAAUAUUCUUUGUUCAAGUCUUCGCCAUUUAUUAUGAUGAUGUUUUCAAAGAGUUUCCAGUUAUAAACACUAAUUCCUCUCCAACGAAAUCCUCUCACACCCAAAUUAUGUGGGUAAGUCAAUAAGGAAAAAUACUGGUUUUACCAGCCUCAGAGUGUUCAGAAUUUCUGAACAAGUAUGAUGAGGAAUCACCCUAGUGUCUAGCAAAUCUUCAUGAGCAUUACCAACAGAACUCUUGGAUAUAUCCUGAUAUCUCUCAGGCCAACAUUAACUCUAAAAGAUAGUAAAUGCAAUCAAUAAUGAAAAAUCAUAUAUAUAUGCAUAUAAUUAUAUAUGUACAUAAUUUCUCA
rnacentral:lncRNA from 1 species